GCCUGGGUGGCUCAGUCGGUUCAGCGCCCGACUUCGGCUCAGGUCACGAUCUCACGGUUCGUGGGUUCAAGCCCCGCGUCAGGCU
rnacentral:tRNA from 1 species